GAAGGUGUAGCUCAGGGGUAGUGCGUGUGCUCAGCAUGCACGAGGUCCUGGGUUCCAUCCCCAGCACCUCCG
rnacentral:tRNA from 1 species